GCUUUACUGUAGCCUGAUAUUGAAAUUCGGCACAGCUUGUACAGGAUAGGUAGGAGCCUUUGAAACGUGAGCGCUAGCUUACGUGGAGGCGCUGGUGGGAUACUACCCUAGCUGUGUUGGCUUUCUAACCCGCACCACUUAUCGUGGUGGGAGACAGUGUCAGGCGGGCAGUUUGACUGGGGCGGUCGCCUCCUAAAAGGUAACGGAGGCGCUCAAAGGUUCCCUCAGA
rnacentral:rRNA from 1 species